GAUGAACGCUGGCGGCGUGCCUAAUACAUGCAAGUCGAGCGAACGGACGAGAAGCUUGCUUCUCUGAUGUUAGCGGCGGACGGGUGAGUAACACGUGGAUAACCUACCUAUAAGACUGGGAUAACUUCGGGAAACCGGAGCUAAUACCGGAUAAUAUUUUGAACCGCAUGGUUCAAAAGUGAAAGACGGUCUUGCUGUCACUUAUAGAUGGAUCCGCGCUGCAUUAGCUAGUUGGUAAGGUAACGGCUUACCAAGGCAACGAUGCAUAGCCGACCUGAGAGGGUGAUCGGCCACACUGGAACUGAGACACGGUCCAGACUCCUACGGGAGGCAGCAGUAGGGAAUCUUCCGCAAUGGGCGAAAGCCUGACGGAGCAACGCCGCGUGAGUGAUGAAGGUCUUCGGAUCGUAAAACUCUGUUAUUAGGGAAGAACAUAUGUGUAAGGAACUGUGCACAUCUUGACGGUACCUAAUCAGAAAGCCACGGCUAACUACGUG
rnacentral:rRNA from 1 species